rnacentral:rRNA from 1 species
ACUGGAGAUGGCGACCGGCGCACGGGUGAGUAACACGUAUCCAACCUGCCGAUAACUCGGGGAUAGCCUUUCGAAAGAAAGAUUAAUACCCGAUGGCAUAAUAGAACCGCAUGGUUGAUUAUUAAAGAAUUUCGGUUAUCGAUGGGGAUGCGUUCCAUUAGGCAGUUGGUGGGUAACGGCCCACCAAACCUUCGAUGGAUAGGGGUUCUGAGAGGAAGGUCCCCCAUAUUGGAACUGAGACACGGUCCAAACUCCUACGGGAGGCAGCAUG